AGUAGCAGAAAUAUCUCACUGGUGGCAUUGCCCGAGGAGACUGGAGUAGGAACGGUUUCAAACUGAGCCGGCGUGGAUCUGUUUUUGUUGUCUCACUGGAAGAAACUACCAGCUCUCACCACAGCCACAGCCCUCCAAGACAUCUUCCUGUGGAACCAACUGCUAGGACCAACCUGAGACUUGCAGGUACAGCAAUGGAGAACUUGAAUGUCCCAUUCCCAGAUCUGACUGAAGAACAGCAAGACAUUUUCCAGAGGGUUUUUACUGCUGAUGCCAAUUACUUGGAGAAUCACGAGAAAAUGAACCAGUCCUUCUGGGAAUCACUUGUAAAAUGUUUAGCCACUACUGACCCACCUAUCCUGAAUACUGAAGAAAAGAACAAUCUCCUCAACAGCUGCAAUGCCCUGCCUGGAGGCUGUGCAGCCUGCCUGAAAGCCAUAGAGAAGGAAGGAGUCAGGGCAAUGGCUGUUCUUUACCUCUUGCUGAAGACAACCAACCCAUCUGGAUAUAGGCAGC